CGGGGGGAGCAAGCGUUGUUCGGAUUUACUGGGCGUAAAGGGCGCGUAGGCGGCCACCGCAAGUCGACUGUGAAAUCUCCGGGCUUAACCCGGAAAGGUCAGCCGAUACUGCGGGGCUAGAGUGCAGAAGGGGCAACUGGCAUUCUCGGUGUAGCGGUGAAAUGCGUAGAUAUCGAGAGGAACACCUGCGGCGAAGGCGGGUUGCUGGGCUGACACUGACGCUGAUGCGCGAAAGCUAGGGGAGCGAACGGGAUUAGAUACCCCGGUAGUCCUAGCCUUAAACGAUGAAUGCUUGGUGUCUGGGGUUUUAUAGUCCCCGGGUGCCGUCGCUAACGCUUUAAGCAUUCCGCCUGGGGAGUACGGUCGCAAGACUG
rnacentral:rRNA from 1 species